rnacentral:rRNA from 1 species
CACGUAGGGCGCGAGCGUUUGUCCGGAAUUAUUGGGCGUAAAGAGCUCGUAGGCGGCCUGUUGCGUCCGCUGUGAAAGCCCCGGGGCUUAACCCCGGGUCUGCAGUGGAUACGGGCAGGCUAGAGGUAGGUAGGGGAGAAUGGAAUUCCCGGUGUAGCGGUGAAAUGCGCAGAUAUCGGGAGGAACACCGGUGGCGAAGGCGGUUCUCUGGGCCUUACCUGACGCUGAGGAGCGAAAGCGUGGGGAGCGAACAGG